UGAAAUCUGGCUCUCGGGCCCGAAUUGUAAUUUGUAGAGGAUGCUUUUGGUGCGGUACCUUCCGAGUUCCCUGGAACGGGACGCCAUAGAGGGUGAGAGCCCCGUCUGGUUGGAUACCAAUCCUCUGUAAAGCUCCUUCAACGAGUCGAGUAGUUUGGGAAUGCUGCUCUAAAUGGGAGGUAUAUGUCUUCUAAAGCUAAAUAUUGGCCAGAGACCGAUAGCGCACAAGUAGAGUGAUCGAAAGAUGAAAAGCACUUUGAAAAGAGAGUUAAAAAGUACGUGAAAUUGUUGAAAGGGAAGCGCUUGUGACCAGACUUGGGCCUGUUUGAUCAUCCAGGGUUCUCCCUGGUGCACUCUCUCAGCCCAGGCCAGCAUCAGUUUGCUUCGGGGGAUAAAGGCUUCGGGAAUGUGGCUCCCUCCGGGGAGUGUU
rnacentral:rRNA from 1 species